AACGAACGCUGGCGGCAUGCCUAACACAUGCAAGUCGAACGAGACCUUCGGGUCUAGUGGCGCACGGGUGCGUAACGCGUGGGAAUCUACCCUUGGGUUCGGAAUAACAGUUAGAAAUGACUGCUAAUACCGGAUGAUGACGUAAGUCCAAAGAUUUAUCGCCCAAGGAUGAGCCCGCGUAAGAUUAGCUUGUUGGUGGGGUAAUGGCCUACCAAGGCGACGAUCUUUAGCUGGUCUGAGAGGAUGAUCAGCCACACUGGGACUGAGACACGGCCCAGACUCCUACGGGAGGCAGCGGUGGGGAAUAUUGGACAAUGGGCGAAAGCCUGAUCCAGCAAUGCCGCGUGAGUGAUGAAGGCCUUAGGGUUGUAAAGCUCUUUUACCAGGGAUGAUAAUGACAGUACCUGGAGAAUAAGCUCCGGCUAACUCCGUGCCAGCCGCCGCGGUAA
rnacentral:rRNA from 1 species